AGGACUGCUGAUUCACUUCGGACCAACCGAUUACGAGAACAUUGACGGACAACUAGCAAAGAUCCGACAAACCUCCACCAUUCAAGAGUACCAAACCAGGUUUGAAAGGUUAUCUAAUCAAACUCAUGAUUGGUCUCAAAAAUAGCUAUUGGAGACCUUCAUUGAGGGCUUAAAGCCGGAGAUCUGGGGAGAAGUUAAAGCACGACAACCAUACACGCU
rnacentral:lncRNA from 1 species